AUUGAACGCUGGCGGAAUGCUUUACACAUGCAAGUCGAGCGGCAGCGCGGGGCAACCUGGCGGCGAGCGGCGAACGGGUGAGUAAUACAUCGGAACGUACCCAGUUGUGGGGGAUAGCCCGGCGAAAGCCGGAUUAAUACCGCAUACGACCUGAGGGUGAAAGGGGGGGAUCGCAAGACCUCUCGCAGUUGGAGCGGCCGAUGGCGGAUUAGCUAGUUGGUGAGGUAAAGGCUCACCAAGGCGACGAUCCGUAGCUGGUCUGAGAGGACGACCAGCCACACUGGAACUGAGACACGGUCCAGACUCCUACGGGAGGCAGCAGUGGGGAAUUUUGGGACAAUGGGGGCAACCCUGAUCCAGCCAUUCCGCGUGAGUGAAGAAGGCCUUCGGGUUGUAAAGGCUCUUUCGGUCAGGAACGAAACGGUAGGGUCCGUAAUACGAUACUGCUAAUGACGGUACC
rnacentral:rRNA from 1 species